AUGUCCACAUGUGUAAAAUAUGUGUAUAAUUUUACACAUGUUUUGCACAUAUAAUGCAUGUGAACAACACAUGUUUUAAAAUUUAUAUGUUGUACACAUAUAUUAUACACGUGUGUAACAUAUACAUUUUACAUAUGUUUAACACAUAUGUAAAAUAAUAUAUGUUCAAUACAUGUUUAAAAGAACAUAUUCACGAAAAAAAAUUGUUUAAUUUAUUAUUCAUUUUCAUGACUUUCACCUAUAUUUAUGCAUUUAUUAGUAAAUACUUGUAAAAAUAAAAUUUAUUUAACAAACUUUUGCCGACUGACUUACAGAAAAAUUUAUUUGUUAACCAAUUCCGGAGUUAUAUCUCGAUUGGCUUUAAUUUUGUCGUUUGCAAUCAUACGUCAUUUUUUACGUCACGGAAGCAGAAGAUGUUGAAUCAUUUGCAGAUAUUCGAUUUGAGGCUAAAGGUAAGUUUUGUCAAUCAUUCUUAUUCAUUUAUUUGUAUUGUAAAAUUAUAUAAAUAUUGCUGGUAGCAACCUAGUCACCUUAUAACGCGAAAAGUAGCUCAGAGCUUGUGUUUCCCAGGAAAAUUCGGGUUGAAAACAAGAAACCUGUAUUGGAAACGAUUGAUGCUGAUCCAAUCUACUUAAGUGAACUUGAUGAAAGUUUUAAGAUGAAAUGUAAAGGCAAAUACGGUUAUUUAAUGUAUAUAUACACAUAAAGGUAUAUACUACAUCUGCUAUAUGUAAACGGUAGGUCUGUCGGUAAACGUUUUCGACAAAGCUUAAAUUAAGCAGUUGUAGCUGGCAAAAAGCACAUUUAUAGACAGAACAAUGCUUAAAAAUUAAGCCAACAUUAAAUAUAUGUUUAUCAAAUGCAUUUUUAUUUAGAUCAGACACAUUUCAAUCUUGAAAAAUGAAAGUAGAAUAAACUAGAGUAAAGCUCGUUGCAAAGUAACGAGUAGGUAUUCCAUAAAACUUAAAGCAGCAAGUCGAAAGUUUUAUAUAAUUUUGUUGUUGUUGUUGAUAUAUCAAAAUUAAAAAUUAAAUUGAUUGUUUAAAAUGUUACUUAUUAUGCAACAAGUUGCUAAAAUGUCCAGUUGGUUACUUAAUAUAUAUUAAGUGAGUUCUUAUUGUAUGCUAAUUUAAACACACUUUAUUUUCAGACAGGUCACAUAAACUAUCCCAGUGAAUAGCAGGGAUAUGUCUCUCUAAACUGUUUAUGCAGUUAAAAUGGCUACCAAUAUUUGGUCGGUCAGGAAGUCCUAAGACAUAAGUAAUGAAUUUUUCAAGAUCCAGACAUUCUUCUUGAGUUCAUAGAGAGUUCUACACUGCAGCUGGUAUAAAAGUGACAAAUCAUGAAAGAACCCAGUCCACACAUGAGUUGCUAAGGUCAGUGCAUUGAUAAGAAGGAAGUUGAAGUUAGAUCGACAUAGAAAUGGCUAGUUUUUUAGACUUCAUAAAAUUGCUGUUGGUUUUUCACAAUCAGCAGCACUUCUAACAAUUAUCCCUGGAUGGCCUGUGCAAUUAUUUGUACAGGCAAUUCACUCCACCAGGAAAGAGUCCUGUGGACAUAAGGAGAAAAAGAUGACGGUAGCACUUAGGGCAUUCUUAACAAUAAAAAGUUUACCGAAUGUUAGAAGUUCUGGCCAGAGUUUAAAGUUCUAUGCAUCAAUAAAAGAGAACAUCUAAGGGGCUUCUGCUGGAAAAAGAAGAAAGAAGAAUCAAGGGUUACCAAGAGGAACAAGGAAGAGAGAAAUGAAUUGUAAGAUGGCAAUGAAGAAUAAACUCCUGAGAACAAAUUAAUGAAGUUUUUGUUAUUAUUUUUUUUAUAUGCCUGGGCUGCAUUUUACAAAAGAACUUACGACAAAGUCGUAAAUAUUUACAGUCUUGUAAAAUGACCUUUAAAGAAAAAAAAUGACAUCAAAUAAUUUGUUUACUAAUAUUUGAGUUUCCAUAAUUCCAUUUUCCAGUCAUAAGAAUAAGUUUUUGAUUAGUUUGUGAUUUAUUAACAUUCAUUAAUUUGGUCGUAAGUCGUAAGUUCUUUUGUAAAACGCAGCCCUGGUAUACAUCUGCAAUAGUAUACUGAUGAUCUAUACAUUGAUAUCAAGGAAUAGUUUGCAAUAUGAAGCACACUGUACGUAAUAUAUUUUAAAUGAAAGCUUAAGUAAAGAUGUACCUUUAUUAUUGAAAAUUGCUAACAAAAAAUUAUAUAUAGAUUUCAUAUAUAAAAUGCAACACAUAUAUUACACAUGUAGAAUAUGUAUUUUACACAUAUAAAAUAUGCUCUGUUUAAUUUCACACAUGUUUAACACAUAUUAAACACAUGUUAAACAUGUGUGAAAUUAAACACUUUAUAUAUGUGUGCUCUUUUUAUGUGUUUUACACAUGUAAAAUAUAUAUGUAAAAUAUAUGUUGAACACAUGUUGCACACAUGUGGACAUUUUU